rnacentral:rRNA from 1 species
CCUACGGGAGGCAGCAGUGGGGAAUAUUGGGCAAUGGAGGAAACUCUGACCCAGCGACGCCGCGUGCGGGAUGAAGGCCUUCGGGUUGUAAACCGCUUUCAGUAGGGAAGAAGCGAAAGUGACGGUACCUACAAAAGAAGCACCGGCUAACUAUGUGCCAGCAGCCGCGGUAAUACAUAGGGUGCAAGCGUUGUCCGGAAUUAUUGGGCGUAAAGAGCUCGUAGGUCGUUUGUUACGUCGGAUGUGAAAACCUGAGGCUCAACCUCAGGCCUGCAUUCGAUACGGGCAAACUAGAGUUUGGUAGGGGAGACUGGAAUUCCUGGUGUAGCGGUGGAAUGCGCAGAUAUCAGGAGGAACACCAAUGGCGAAGGCAGGUCUCUGGGCCAAUACUGACACUGAGGAGCGAAAGUCUGGGGAGCGAACAGGAUUAGAUACCCUGGUAGUCCAGACCGUAAACGGUGGGCACUAGUUGUGGGAACCUUCCACGGUUUCUGCGACGCAGCUAACGCAUUAAGUGCCCCGCCUGGGGAGUACGAUCGCAAGAUUAAAACUCAAAGGAAUUGACGGCNGAGACGUGCCGACGACGACGACGAGGGAGAGG